UGGGGAAUAUUGCACAAUGGGGGAAACCCUGAUGCAGCGACGCCGCGUGAGCGAAGAAGGUUUUCGAAUCGUAAAGCUCUGUCCUAUGAGAAGAUAAUGACGGUAUCAUAGGAGGAAGCCCUGGCUAAAUACGUGCCAGCAGCCGCGGUAAUACGUAUGGGGCGAGCGUUGUCCGGAAUUAUUGGGCGUAAAGGGUACGUAGGUGGUUUUUUAAGUCAGGUGUCAAAGCGUGGAGCUUAACUCCAUUAAGCACUUGAAACUGAAAGACUUGAGUUAAGGAGAGGAACGUGGAAUUCCUAGUGUAGCGGUAAAAUGCGUAGAUAUUAGGAGGAAUACCGGUGGCGAAGGCGACUUGCUGGACUUUUACAGACGCUCAGGUACUAAAGCGUGGGGAGCAAACAGG
rnacentral:rRNA from 1 species